AGUGAACGCUGGCGGUAGGCCUAACACAUGCAAGUCGAACGGCAGCACAGUAAGAGCUUGCUCUUACGGGUGGCGAGUGGCGGACGUGUGAGGAAUACAUCGGAAUCUACUUUUUCGUGGGGGAUAACGUAGGUAAACUUACGCUAAUACCGCAUACGACCUACGGGUGAAAGCAUGGGAUCUUCGGACCUUGCGCGAUUGAAUGAGCCGAUGUCGGAUUAGCUAGUUGGCGGGGUAAAGGCCCACCAAGGCGACGAUCCGUAGCUGGUCUGAGAGGAUGAUCAGCCACACUGGAACUGAGACACGGUCCAGACUCCUACGGGAGGCAGCAGUGGGGAAUAUUGGACAAUGGGCGCAGGCCUGAUACAGCCAUACCGCGUGGGUGAAGAAGGCCUUCGGGUUGUAAAGCCCUUUUGUUGGGAAAGAAAAGCAGCAGGUUAAUACCCCGCUGUUCUGACGGUACCCAAAGAAUAAGCACCGGCUAACUUCGUG
rnacentral:rRNA from 1 species